rnacentral:misc_RNA from 1 species
GGUGAUUCCAAACUUUUACAAAUUUGGAUCUUUUCGUUUGGUAUCUAUGUAUUUGAUAUGAAAGAAUUCUUCAUUAACAAUGAGAGAAGUGAUAAGAGCAUGGUUUCAAAUAGCGGUUAUUAUGUAACGUAACGGUCGUUAUUUACAGGUUUUUGAAAGCUCCGUUACGCAUUACCCGUUAUUUGUAGGAAAAUCUUGAAUUGUAUAUGUAAUGGCCGUUAUCACUGUUACAUAAUGGUAACAACCGUUAUUAACUGUUAAGUAAUGGUAACGGUUGUUACUUUAAUACGCAUUUGCCACAAAUCACAUGCAAACCAUAUUUUCCCUCUUUU